rnacentral:rRNA from 1 species
AACGAACGCUGGCGGCAUGCCUAACACAUGCAAGUCGAACGAGACCUUCGGGUCUAGUGGCGCACGGGUGCGUAACGCGUGGGAACCUGCCCUUAGGUUCGGAAUAACUCCCCGAAAGGGGUGCUAAUACCGGAUAAUGUCUUCGGACCAAAGAUUUAUCGCCUUUGGAUGGGCCCGCGUUGGAUUAGCUAGUUGGUAGGGUAAAAGCCUACCAAGGCGACGAUCCAUAGCUGGUAUGAGAGGAUGAUCAGCCACACUGGGACUGAGACAAGGCCCAGACUCCUACGGGAGGCAGCAGUGGGGAAUAUUGGACAAUGGGCGAAAGCCUGAUCCAGCAAUGCCGCGUGAGUGAUGAAGGCCUUAGGGUGGUAAAGCUCUUUUACCCGGGAUGAUAAUGACAGUACCGGGAGAAUAAGCUCCGGCUAACUACGUG